rnacentral:sRNA from 1 species
GUCAGGUAUGGUGGUGCGCACCUGUAAUCCUAGCACCUUGGGAGGCUGAGACAGGAGAAUCGCAAGUUCAAAGCCAGCCUCAGCAACAUAGCGAGGCCCUAAGCAACUCAAUGAGACCCUGUCUCUA